rnacentral:rRNA from 1 species
UACGGAGGAUCCGAGCGUUAUCCGGAUUUAUUGGGCUUAAAGGGUGCGUAGGCGGCCUAUUAAGUCAGGGGUGAAAUACGGUGGCUCAACCAUCGCAGUGCCCUUGAUACUGAUGGGCUUGAAUGUACUAGAGGUAGGCGGAAUGUGACAAGUAGCGGUGAAAUGCAUAGAUAUGUCACAGAACACCAAUUGCGAAGGCAGCUUACUAUGGUAUGAUUGACGCUGAGGCACGAAAGCGUGGGGAUCAAACAGG